UACGAAGGGGGCUAGCGUUGUUCGGAAUUACUGGGCGUAAAGGGCGCGUAGGCGGUUUGUCAAGUCAGGCGUGAAAGCCCCGGGCUCAACCUGGGAACUGCGCUUGAGACUGGCAGGCUCGAGUCCGGAAGAGGCGAGUGGAAUUCCCGGUGUAGCGGUGAAAUGCGCAGAUAUCGGGAGGAACACCAAUGGCGAAGGCAGCUCGCUGGGACGGUACUGACGCUGAGACGCGAAAGCGUGGGGAGCAAACAGG
rnacentral:rRNA from 1 species